rnacentral:rRNA from 1 species
GAUGAACGCUGGCGGCGUGCUUAACACAUGCAAGUCGAACGGGGAAUAAAAAGCCUAGCUUUUUAUUCCUAGUGGCGGACGGGUGAGUAACGCGUGGGUAACCUGCCCUAUGCAGGGGGAUAACGUUGGGAAACCAACGCUAAUACCGCAUAAAGCAAAGAGUUCGCAUGAACUGUUUGUCAAAGAUUUAUCGGCAUAGGAUGGACCCGCGUUGGAUUAGCUAGUUGGUGAGAUAACAGCUCACCAAGGCGACGAUCCAUAGCCGGCCUGAGAGGGUGAACGGCCACAUUGGGACUGAGACACGGCCCAAACUCCUACGGGAGGCAGCAGUGGGGAAUAUUGCACAAUGGGCGCAAGCCUGAUGCAGCGACGCCGCGUGAAGGAAGAAGGUUUUCGGAUUGUAAACUUCUAUCAGCAGGGAGGAAAGAAAUGAUGGUACCUGACUAAGAAGCCCCGGCUAACUACGUGCCAGCCGCCGCGGUAAUAC